UGCGUAGGUGGCCUUUUAAGUUGGAUGUGAAAUACCCGGGCUUAACUUGGGGGUGGCAUCUAAUACUGGGAGGCUAGAGUGCAGGGGAGGGAAGCGGAAUUCCUAGUGUAGCGGUGAAAUGCGUAGAUAUUAGGAGGAACACCAGUGGCGAAGGCGGCUUUCUGGACUGUAACUGACACUGAGGCACGAAAGCGUGGGGAGGCAAAACA
rnacentral:rRNA from 1 species